rnacentral:rRNA from 1 species
UGGAUCCAGACUUUGAUUCUGGCUCAGGACGAACGCUGGCGGCGCGCCUAACACAUGCAAGUCGAACGAGAGAGAAGGAGCUUGCUUCUUCGAUCGAGUGGCGAACGGGUGAGUAACGCGUGAGGAACCUGGCUCAAAGAGGGGGACAACAGUUGGAAACGACUGCUAAUACCGCAUAAGCCCACGGGUCGGCAUCGACCUGAGGGAAAAGGAGCAAUCCGCUUUGAGAUGGCCUCGCGUCCGAUUAGCUAGUUGGUGAGGUAACGGCCCACCAAGGCGACGAUCGGUAGCCGGACUGAGAGGUUGAACGGCCACAUUGGGACUGAGACACGGCCCAGACUCCUACGGGAGGCAGCAGUGGGGAAUAUUGCACAAUGGGGGAAACCCUGAUGCAGCGACGCCGCGUGGAGGAAGAAGGUCUUCGGAUUGUAAACUCCUGUUGUUGAGGAAGAUAAUGACGGUACUCAACAAGGAAGUGACGGCUAACUACGUGCCAGCAGCCGCGGUAAAACGUAGGUCGCAAGCGUUGUCCGGAAUUACUGGGUGUAAAGGGAGCGCAGGCGGGAAGACAAGUUGGAAGUGAAAUCUAUGGGCUCAACCCAUAAACUGCUUUCAAAACUGUUUUUCUUGAGUAGUGCAGAGGUAGGCGGAAUUCCCGGUGUAGCGGUGGAAUGCGUAGAUAUCGGGAGGAACACCAGUGGCGAAGGCGGCCUACUGGGCACCAACUGACGCUGAGGCUCGAAAGUGUGGGUAGCAAACAGGAUUAGAUACCCUGGAAGUCCACACCGUAAACGAUGAUUACUAGGUGUUGGAGGAUUGACCCCUUCAGUGCCGCAGUUAACACAAUAAGUAAUCCACCUGGGGAGUACGACCGCAAGGUUGCAACUCAAAUGAAU